rnacentral:rRNA from 1 species
AUUGAACGCUGGCGGCAUGCCUUACACAUGCAAGUCGAACGGUAACAGGUCUUCGGAUGCUGACGAGUGGCGAACGGGUGAGUAAUACAUCGGAACGUGCCCGAUCGUGGGAGAUAACGGAGCGAAAGCUUUGCUAAUACCGCAUACGAUCUACGGAUGAAAGCAGGGGACCGCAAGGCCUUGCGCGGACGGAGCGGCCGAUGGCAGAUUAGGUAGUUGGUGGGAUAAAAGCUUACCAAGCCGACGAUCUGUAGCUGGUCUGAGAGGACGACCAGCCACACUGGGACUGAGACACGGCCCAGACUCCUACGGGAGGCCGCAGUAGGGAAUUUUGGACAAUGGGCGAAAGCCUGAUCCAGCCAUGCCGCGUGCAGGAUGAAGGCCUUCGGGUUGUAAACUGCUUUUGUACGGAACGAAAAGCCUCUUUCUAAUAAAGAGAGGUCAUGACGGUACCGUAAGAAUAAGCACCGGCUAACUACGUGCCAGCCGCCGCAGUAACAC